rnacentral:lncRNA from 1 species
CGCACGUACGUUGAGAGGAGCGCACGUACGUUGAGAGGAGCGCACCGGAGAAAGAACACACGAGCUGCGGGACAGUGAGAGGAACACACUGGUAGAAGAGCACACAGGCAGCUGGAUGUCGAGAGGAGCGGAAGAGCACAGCGACAGGCACUGGUGUCGACCAGCGGAACGACGUGGAGUUUGGCCUGGGAGGUCAGAGAAGAAUUUGGCUGCUGGGCAGCCCCACUAUAGGGGAAAACCACCUUCCCACUCCAUUCCCCUUCUGAUCUCCCCAUCCACCUCGCUGAGAGCUACCACAACUCAAUAAAAAACCUAGCACUCGAUCUCCAAGCCCACAUGUGAUCCAAUUUUUCCCGUGCACUAAAGCAAGAACCUGGGAUACAGAAAGCCGUCUGUCCUUGUGAUAAGGCAGAGGGUCUAAUUGAGCUGAUUAACACAAGCCACCUGCGGACAGCUAAGCUGAAAAAGCAUCCUGUAACACACGCCCACUGGGGCCUCAGGAGGUGUAAACAUUCACCCCGAGAGGCUGCAUGGGUCCGCGCCCAUGGUCCCCAUGACUUGCCUGUUUGCCUGCUCUGGCUAAGGGUCUUGACCAGUGGGGCACUGAAGAAGCGAGCCACACCUCCAUCGUACGCCCUGCGAGGAGGGGUCUCACUCAGUGACCCAGGCUGAAUGCAGUGGAACAAUCAUGGCUUACUGUAGCCUUGACCUUGAGGGCUUAAGCAAUCCUGCCACCUCAGCCUGCCUAGUACUGGGACUACAGGUACGCGCCACCACGCCCAGAAACAUCAAAUAUAUUCAGCUCCCGUCUCUCUUCAACCAUGUAAAAUUAUUUCAACAACUAUCAGCUAUUGAAGGUGAAACUGGCAUGUCUGUUUGUUCUUCUCUUCCUGGUGUCAAAGACUCUUAAAGCAUGCAUAUAAAAUAUGAAAGUAAAUAAAACGUAAUCAAAAAUACUAACAUUCAAACAUUUACAUAUCAUUGUUCCUACUAUCCCUUUUUUCUCUGGAUCUCUAAUAGAAAUAACAGUUGGUGUCCAUCAAGUGUUAAGUGAAUAAAUAAAAAAUUACCAAAUUUUUAUAUUUGGUAUAUCUUAUAUUUCUAUAUCUAUACAAAGAAACCUUA